rnacentral:lncRNA from 1 species
UUCAGAUUUCAGGGCCGUUUGUAUUGUGGUGGUUUCUUUAUGUUCAAGGUUAUCCACACCAGGCAGAGGACAAACUCCACUCCUGGCCUUCCUGCCCAGCUAGAUUUAAGGAUUGUAACCAGGACAGUGAGUCCCUUCUGGGAAAGGGGCCUCGUGGAGGUUAUGAAAUCCAGCAGGUCAUGGAAGGAGAAACGAUUGACAAUCCAGACGGGAUGGAGGCAGGAGUUGGCUCAGUAACCCCAUCUUUCCUAUCCACCAGCACUCCCCUGCGCUUCCCAAGUGAUUUAAUUAUCCAUUCUUUAACUGCAACUCGGUUAGCCCUGAAAUUUGGGUGAAGAGAAAUCAGACACAGAGUCCGGCUUUUCCUUGGUCACCCAGGCUGGAGUGCAAUGGCACCAUCACAGCUCACUGCAACCUCCAACUUCUGGUCUCAAACGAUCCUCUGGCCUCACCUCAGCCUCCUGAGUUGCUGGGAUUACAGUCAAGAGCCACUGCACCCAGCCCCCUCACUGUUGCAUGAAUGGAUGAAUGAGUUGAUUAUGAACCGUUUUGCUUAGGGGGACAUUUCUGGCUUUUCCUCCCAUGUGAAGUCAGAUGGACCAGAGGUGGAAAUGAUCCCACUGAGAAACCUCUUUGCUUCUAAAGGGACCUCUCAAGGGUCUCCUCCUGCUUGUCUUCGGCAACAGGCAAGGCCAAAGACCCUUCCUCCCAUCUGCAGCCACCAGUUCCUGCUUUGUGACUUGUGCAGUAGGAGUUUUGCAGCAUUGAAAAGCAUCAUGCAGGAGCCAGGCUUCCAGAAGAUCCCUGCGGCUGAGUUCUCGGUAAUUCCCAGUAACACUCUAAUUUUAGUUAUGA